rnacentral:rRNA from 1 species
CCUACGGGGGGCAGCAGUGAGGAAUAUUGGUCAAUGGGCUUACGCCUGAACCAGCCAAGUCGCGUGAGGGAAGACUGCCCUAUGGGUUGUAAACCUCUUUUGUCAGGGAGCAACGCCGGCUACGUGUAGCCGGACUGAGAGUACCUGAAGAAAAAGCAUCGGCUAACUCCGUGCCAGCAGCCGCGGUAAUACGGAGGAUGCGAGCGUUAUCCGGAUUUAUUGGGGUUAAAGGGUGCGUAGGCGGAAUGCCAAGUCAGCGGUAAAAUCGCGGGGCUCAACCUCGCUCCGCCGUUGAAACUGGCGGUCUUGAGUGGGCGAGAAGUAUGCAGAAUGCGUGGUGUAGCGGUGAAAUGCAUAGAUAUCACGCAGAACUCCGAUUGCGAAGGCAGCAUACCGGCGCCCAACUGACGCUGAAGCACGAAAGCGUGGGUAUCGAACAGGAUUAGAUACCCUAGUAGUC